rnacentral:rRNA from 1 species
UACGAAGGGGGCUAGCGUUGCUCGGAAUUACUGGGCGUAAAGGGCGCGUAGGCGGACUAGUUUAGUCAGAGGUCGAAAGCCCAGGGCUCAACCUUGGAACUUGCCUUUGAUACUGGCUGUCUUGAGUUCGGGAGAGGUGAGUGGAAUGCCGAGUGUAGAGGUGAAAUUCGUAGAUAUUCGGCGGAACACCAGUGGCGAAGGCGGACUCACUGGCCCGAGUACUGACGCUGAGGCGCGAAAGCGUGGGAGCAACAGG